CACGAGCGCACCCUUAUCUUCAGUUGCUACCAUUUAGUUGAGCACUCUGACGAAACCGCCUCGGAUAACGGGGAGGAAGGUGGGGAUGACGUCAAGUCCUCAUGGCCUUUAUGUCCAGGGCUACACACGUGCUACAAUGGCCGGUACAAACCGCUGCAACCCCGCGAGGGGGAGCUAAUCGGAAAAAGCCGGCCUCAGUUCGGAUUGGAGUCUGCAACUCGACUCCAUGAAGCUGGAAUCGCUAGUAAUCGUGGAUCAGCAUGCCACGGUGAAUACGUUCCCGGGCCUUGUACACACCGCCCGU
rnacentral:rRNA from 1 species